AUUGAACGCUGGCGGAAUGCUUUACACAUGCAAGUCGAACGGCAGCACGGACUUCGGUCUGGUGGCGAGUGGCGAACGGGUGAGUAAUGUAUCGGAACGUGCCCAGUCGUGGGGGAUAACGUAGUGAAAAUUACGCUAAUACCGCAUACGAUCUAUGGAUGAAAGCGGGGGAUGGCAAGCCCUCGCGCGAUUGGAGCGGCCCAUAUCAGAUUAGGUAGUUGGUGGGGUAAAGGGCCACCAAGCUAACGAUCUGUAGCUGGUCUGAGAGGACGACCAGCCACACUGGAACUGAGACACGGUCCAGACUCCUACGGGAGGCAGCAGUGGGGAAUUUUGGACAAUGGGCGAAAGCCUGAUCCAGCCAUUCCGCGUGCAGGAUGAAGGCCCUCGGGUUGUAAACUGCUUUUGUACAGAACGAAAAGGUUUCUACUAAUACUAGGAGCUCAUGACGGUACUGUAAGAAUAAGCACCGGCUAACUACGUGCCAGCCGCCGCGGUAA
rnacentral:rRNA from 1 species